UGAAGGGGUUUCCAUCCUAGGACCUAGGGAUAAGAAGGGGGAAUAGCUGGUGGGGGGUGAACCUAGCGCUGGGGGAGGCAAGCCCCUCCCCCAAGCCCCCAAUAUCCCCUCACCUGCUGAGCACGUGACCCCAGCCUCCCCAUCCCCGGAGCCCAGGAGGGGCACACGGCCCCAACCAGAACGGCGGGGGCAGCCUAAGGAGAAGCCUGACCCGCUCCCCACAGGGGCCCUGCACCCACCUCCGCACUCAGCUGUGCAAAACAGAAGGUUUAUUGGUCGCUGGGAACACAGCCUAGAACAGAGCUUGUUAGCAGAGAAAUCAGGGGCUCUCAGCAAAGUCCAUCUGGGGAAAAUCCCCUCUAACCACACCAGCCCCUGAGCCUGCAGGCUGAGGAAUCACAUCCACAUUUUGCUCCAGAUCGUCCCGUCUUCCAGAGGACAGAGAAGGGAAAUGGCUGCGAUGGAGACAGCUCAGAUGCCGGUGACCUUCGAGGAGGUGGCUGUGUAUUUCACCCAGGCGCAGGGGGCUCUGC